rnacentral:rRNA from 1 species
UAGGGAAUCUUCCACAAUGGACGCAAGUCUGAUGGAGCAACGCCGCGUGAGUGAAGAAGGUUUUCGGAUCGUAAAGCUCUGUUGUUGGUGAAGAAGGAUAAGGAUAGUAACUGAUCCAUAUUUGACGGUAAUCAACCAGAAAGUCACGGCUAACUACGUGCCAGCAGCCGCGGUAAUACGUAGGUGGCAAGCGUUGUCCGGAUUUAUUGGGCGUAAAGCGAACGCAGGCGGGAUAACAAGUCAGCUGUGAAAGCCCUCGGCUUAACCGGUGAAGAGCAGCUGAAACUGAUAUUCUUGAGUGCAGAAGAGGAGAGUGGAACUCCAUGUGUAGCGGUGGAAUGCGUAGAUAUAUGGAAGAACACCAGUGGCGAAGGCGGCUCUCUGGUCUGUAACUGACGCUGAGGUUCGAAAGCAUGGGUAGCGAACAGG